UACGUAGGGGGGCAAGCGUUGUCCGGAUUUAUUGGGCGUAAAGAGCGUGUAGGCGGUUUGGUAGGUCCGCUGUGAAAACUCGAGGCUCAACCUCGAGACGCCGGUGGAAACCAUCAGACUAGAGUCCGGAAGAGGAGAGUGGAAUUCCUGGUGUAGCGGUGAAAUGCGCAGAUAUCAGGAAGAACACCCCGUGGCUAAGGCGGCUCUCUAGUACGGUACUGACGCUGAGACGCGAAAAGCGUGGGGGAGCGAACAGG
rnacentral:rRNA from 1 species